rnacentral:rRNA from 1 species
CCUACGGGAGGCAGCAGUAAGGAAUAUUGGUCAAUGGACGAAAGUCUGAACCAGCCAUGCCGCGUGAAGGAUGAAGGCCCUCUGGGUUGUAAACUUCUUUUAUCUGGGACGAAAAAAGGGAAUUCUUUCCCACUUGACGGUACCAGAGGAAUAAGCACCGGCUAACUCCGUGCCAGCAGCCGCGGUAAUACGGAGGGUGCAAGCGUUAUCCGGAUUCACUGGGUUUAAAGGGAGCGUAGGUGGGUCUGUAAGUCAGUGGUGAAAUCUCCGAGCUUAACUCGGAAACUGCCAUUGAUACUAUAGGUCUUGAAUUAUCUGGAGGUAAGCGGAAUAUGUCAUGUAGCGGUGAAAUGCUUAGAUAUGACAUAGAACACCAAUUGCGAAGGCAGCUUGCUACGGAUAUAUUGACACUGAGGCUCGAAAGCGUGGGGAUCAAACAGGAUUAGAUACCCUGGUAGUCCACGCCCUAAACGAUGGAUACUCGACAUCAGCGAUACACUGUUGGUGUCUGAGCGAAAGCAUUAAGUAUCCCACCUGGGAAGUAACGACCGCAGGUUGAAACUUCAAAGGAAUUGACGGCUGAGCGNGCGAGCGACGACGAGGAGGAGG